GGAGUUAUGGCUCAGAUGUAGAGCACUCACCUAGUAUGUGUGAGGCACUGGGUUCGAUCCUCAGCACCA
rnacentral:tRNA from 1 species